CCUACGGGAGGCAGCAGUGAGGAAUAUUGGUCAAUGGACGAGAGUCUGAACCAGCCAAGUAGCGUGAAGGAUGACUGCCCUAUGGGUUGUAAACUUCUUUUAUAUGGGAAUAAAAUGUUCCACGUGUGGGAUUUUGUAUGUACCAUAUGAAUAAGGAUCGGCUAACUCCGUGCCAGCAGCCGCGGUAAUACGGAGGAUCCGAGCGUUAUCCGGAUUUAUUGGGUUUAAAGGGAGCGUAGGUGGAUGGUUAAGUCAGUUGUGAAAGUUUGCGGCUCAACCGUAAAAUUGCAGUUGAAACUGGCAGUCUUGAGUACAGUAGAGGUGGGCGGAAUUCGUGGUGUAGCGGUGAAAUGCGUAGAUAUCACGAAGAACUCCGAUUGCGAAGGCAGUUCACUGGACUGCAACUGACACUGAGGCUCGAAAGUGUGGGUAUCAAACAGGAUUAGAUACCCCGGUAGUC
rnacentral:rRNA from 1 species